AGUUGAUCAUGGCUCAGGAUGAACGCUAGCGACAGGCUAACACAUGCAAGUCGAGGGGCAGCACGGGAGUAGCAAUACAACUGGUGGCGACCGGCGCACGGGUGAGUAACGCGUAUGCAACCUACCUAUCAGAGGGGAAUAACCCGGCGAAAGUCGGACUAAUACCGCAUAAAACAGGGGCACCGCAUGGUGAUAUUUGUUAAAGAGAUUCGCUGAUAGAUGGGCAUGCGUUCCAUUAGGUAGUUGGUGAGGUAACGGCUCACCAAGCCGACGAUGGAUAGGGGAACUGAGAGGUUGGUCCCCCACACUGGUACUGAGACACGGACCAGACUCCUACGGGAGGCAGCAGUGAGGAAUAUUGGUCAAUGGGCGGGAGCCUGAACCAGCCAAGUCGCGUGAAAGGAAGAAGGAUCUAUGGUUCGUAAACUUCUUUUGCAGGGGAAUAAAGUGCAGGACGUGUCCUGUUUUGUAUGUACCCUGAGAAUAAGGAUCGGCUAACUCCGUGCCAGCAGCCGC
rnacentral:rRNA from 1 species